rnacentral:rRNA from 1 species
CGGGGGCACGGGGGGCCUACGGGAGGCAGCAGUGGGGAAUAUUGGACAAUGGGCGGAAGCCUGAUCCAGCAAUGCCGCGUGUGUGAAGAAGGCCUUCGGGUUGUAAAGCACUUUAAGCAGGAAAGAAAAAACUUGGUCUAAUACAUCAAGUCUUGACGGUACCUGAAGAAUAAGCACCGGCUAAUUCUGUG